rnacentral:miRNA from 1 species
UGGGUAGAGAGGGUAGUGGGAGG